CAGCAGCCACGGUAAUACGUAGGGUGCAAGCGUUAAUCGGAAUUACUGGGCGUAAAGCGUGCGCAGGCGGUUAUAUAAGACAGAUGUGAAAUCCCCGGGCUUAACCUGGGAACUGCAUUUGUGACUGUAUAGCUAGAGUACGGCAGAGGGGGAUGGAAUUCCGCGUGUAGCAGUGAAAUGCGUAGAUAUGCGGAGGAACACCGAUGGCGAAGGCAAUCCCCUGGGCCUGUACUGACGCUCAUGCACGAAAGCGUGGGGAGCAAACAGGAUUAGAUACCCCCGUAGUCCCUGUCUCUUAUAC
rnacentral:rRNA from 1 species